GGGGCCGUAGCUCAGUCGGGAGAGCGCUUGCAUGGCAUGCAAGAGGUCGGGGGUUCGAUCCCCCCUGGCUCCA
rnacentral:tRNA from 1 species